GGAAGGGUGGCAGAGUGGUCGAAUGCGCCAGACUCGAAAUCUGGUUUAGCCUUUCAGGCUAACGUGGGUUCGAAUCCCACCUCUUCCGCCA
rnacentral:tRNA from 1 species